GAUAAACGCUGGCGGCGUGCCUAAUACAUGCAAGUCGAGCGAAGCGGGGACGGGUGAGUAACACGUGGAUAACCUCCUAUAAGACUGGGAUAACUUCGGGAAACCGGAGCUAAACCGGAUAAUUAUAGCUGGAUCUGUGCUGCAUUAGCUAGUUGGUAAGUUAACGGCUUACCAAGGCACCGAUGCAUAGCCGACCUGAGAGGGGGAUCGGCCAAAGUGGAAUUGAUACCCGGUCAAGACUCCUACGGGAGGCAGCAGUAGGGAAUUUUCCGCAAUGGGCGAAAGCCGGACGGAGCAACGCCGCGUGAGUGAUGAAGGUCUUCGGAUCUUAAAACUCUGUUAUUAGGGAAGCGGUACCUAAUCAGAAAGCCACGGCUAACUACGUGCCAGCAGCCGCGGUAAUAC
rnacentral:rRNA from 1 species